UCCCUUCUCUCCUUCCUUUUCCUUUCAUCCUUCCUUUCCUCCUCUCCUCUUUUACCUCCCCUUUCUCUCCUUUUUCUUCCUUUUAUCCUUCCUUUUUUCUUCUCAUUCCCUCUUCAAAGUAAAUCUUUUUUUAACUCAAUUGGUUUCUACUUUGGUAUUGGAGGUCUUUGCAGCUUCACACCUGCUCCUCUUUGUUCAUUAGCUGGAUCUCAGUGUUAUGCUUGGUUCCACUCGGCGUGAUAAGUUAUCUAUCGCUGAGGACACUGUAAAAGGUGGCCAAGGUAAAUGCAGAUGAACCGCUUCUAAUAGUCCAUUGACUUGGACAAUACUUUUAUGAUCUGAUCUCAAAUCAGGUAGGACUACCCGCUGAACUUAAGC
rnacentral:misc_RNA from 1 species